rnacentral:rRNA from 1 species
GACGAACCGUACGAACGUUAUUCGGAAUCACUGGGCUUAAAGGGUGUGUAGGCGGCGCUAAAAGUUGGGUGUGAAAUCCCUCGGCUUAACCGAGGAACUGCGCCCAAAACUGUAGUGCUUGAGGGAGAUAGAGGUGAGCGGAACUUAGGGUGGAGCGGUGAAAUGCGUUGAUAUCCUAAGGAACGCCAGGGGCGAAAGCGGCUCACUGGGUCUCUUCUGACGCUGAGGCACGAAAGCUAGGGUAGCGAACGGG